rnacentral:lncRNA from 1 species
CCUUGCUGUGCCAAGAAAGAAAAGACCAUGGAUCUACUAGUUGCAGAUUUCAGCAGUAAUGCCAAGGGGGCAAGAAGUGACCAGCAGAACAAUUAGGCCAUGGCAACAGAAGCCAACUACAACCCAUGUUCCAAUCUAUGACCUCCCUCUCCUGCUGGUACAAGGAUAUGGGCAAGAGCUGAUAAUCAACUGACUAAUGAGGAUUGACUUCU